AGAAAUUGAUGGUUCAUUAACAUGUUGCACUUACUUUUAUUUUUAUUUUGUUCUUUAAAAACAGUUGAACAACACAUUCAAUAUAUGAGUUAUCUAUUUAAUAAAUGAUAACACCAUCUUCUGCAAUUAUAGGAUUACUUUUUCAUAUGCAAUGUGCAAAUCAUUAGAGUUGUGAAGGAACUAGAUUGGCGUUAUGUUGGAUGUCGAGAUUGUGCAAAAAAAACAAUCAACUUCAGGACAAGUCUGUUGCAAAUCAUGUAAUAGGGAAGUAGUGGCUCAAAUCAGAAAAUAGUAGGUAGUCAGAUUUUUAAGAUCAGUUUGUCACAAGCUAUUAAAAACAAAUGGCUGGAGAUCGGGAAACAAUUGGUCUCGAGAAAGGUGACGGAGAAGGUCGUUAAGAACAUCUCGGAGUAGGAAAUUUCCACGCCUACAUAAUCCAAGACCCCAUUUAAGCCUGUAAUUGUUCUAUUUCAGGUUUUGCUCUUAUUUCUCUUCUUUUUACUGGCUUUGUUUCUUUUUCCCCCCUAAUGAUAAAUAUACGAUAUUAUAAUGUUUGUCUUUGAGACACGAUAUAGUUAAGAGGAUAGUUUGCAUUAUUUUGUAUGAUGAACUAAAAUAUGCAUCAAGAGAUAACUCCUUCGUAAAAAUUCAUGAUUGGUUGUCACUCAAGUGACUGAUUCAUGAAUAUAUGUUAUAUUGAAUGUAGAGUUUUGUUGCUA